UAAAUAAAUUUGUAUAGUCAAAUACCAUUCAUAUUUGUGUCAGUUGAUAACAAAACCAGUCCAUAUAAUCUCCAUAUGGUAUGUUAGACUGCCAAUAUUUUUUCAACAGUUUCAGUUUCAUAAAACCUCAGAAAAUUUUAAUUUUUUUAAAAUGAAGUAUUUCAAUAGGCUUUCUUACUUAUUAUGGUAUUGAUUAUCAAAAAAGUUUUAGUAACCAUAAAUAAAUUAUCACUAGUUCUGUAUAAAUGCAUACCCUUGGUUAAAGAUAUUUCAAGAUUUCAAACUUGAUGUUCUCAAGGUAUUAUAACUAAAAUGUCUAAAAAUAUUAUUUUAACUAUAAAACUAUCCGUUUUACUUAUCAUACGCUAAUAAGAAAAUAAACUAAAAAUGCUCUUCCUAAUCAUCGGUUUUGAUGACUUGUUUUCUGGAUCGGCCAUGCCUCUUUCGUUAGUUGUUAUAAAUUUUAUCCUUUUACUAGGAAUGAUUAGAUUAUAUUUGUCUUAGAGCUCAUGUAGAUUUGUCCUUUGUAGAGUUGUUGUAGAUUUCAUCCCUCCUUGACUUUGAGUUUGUAUAGAUUAUGCCUCUCUAAGACCAUCUCCAAUGGUACUCUAUAAUUUUUUCUAUAUUUCACUCUAAAAUAGAGUAACUUUAUUAUAGAGUUGGAUUUGCUUCAAUGGUUAGAGUUACUCUAUAAUAUAGUGAAAUAUAGAGUAUUCUUAUUUUUUCACUCUAUAUUUGGAGUAAAAAAAUAAGAUUACUUUAUAUUUCACUCUAUUAUAGAGUAACUCUAUUAUAGAGUGAACCAUUGAAGCAAAUUUAACUCUAUAAUAGAGUUACUUUAUUUUAGUGUAAAUUAUAGAGGAAAAAAUAGAGUGCCCUUGGAGAUGCUCUAAGAGCUUUUGCAGAUUCCUCUUUUGUAGUAGAUUGUUUCUCUCCUUGAGUUGAUACGAGAUUAGAUGUCUCUUAGAGCAAUUCCAUUUGAGAUUUUUCAACAUAAAUGUUCCAAAUUCAAAAAAAAAAAAACUAUUAGAAUGAGUAUUUCAAUUGUUAAGAAAUCCAUUUUAUUAAAUAAUAUUUUUAGUUGUUAGAUAUUUAUGCUUGCAGUCUUUGAAUGGAAUUGCUGUUAGAGCUUCUGAUACACUAAAAAUGAAUAUUUGUUACUGUCAAGUUAAUAGUAUUGUUGUAGUAUGUUUAGAUUCAAUUUGAGAGGAACAAUUUAUACUUUAUCCUAUUAGUUCAAUAAUAAGCUAAAACAAUAAUGAGGUUUAAAGGUUGAUUGAAAGCAUAGAAUGCAAGUAACAAGCAAAGAGAGGGUUUAACAAAAUGAUAAGCGAGCUAGCCUAGAGACAGAUUAACGAGGGAGCGAGCCGAACAGUAUAUUCAAGUUCCUUAAGAUCGAGCCCAAAACUCAGGUAACUAGGUAGAUCAGCCCACUCUCGUGGUAUUGUUCCUUUUAUCGAUCGAUCUCAGCUCCUAAACUCUCGUUUGAGCUGAGAUGCAAUGAUAAACCUUAGGAGCUGACCCGAUGGGUUUAUAAAGCAGCCUAAUAUCUACUUUUGCUGAUUAGGGAUGUCAUGCUCAUGCAAAACGUGUCAAGUAAUCUAAUGCACGGUUAAUGAUUAGAUCUACUUAAGUUCAUGCAUCAAAUGAUCAAUUUAAUGCAAUCAAUACGACCGAUAAUGAAUGAAGACAAUUGAUGAUACUUAUUUGUGUUCAGCUCGCGAUCUAGCAACCCUAACACCCUAGGCUAACAAGAUCGACUACUCAGUCAUAACACAAGUAAACACAUAUGAUAAUUCUGAAUAAUACAUGAUGCGAUCAUGAAUAGAAAUAAAAUAGGGUUUAGAAUAAUCUUCUCCAAGGUGAGAAAGAUGGAGCUGUCUCCCUUACAAAGCAAUUCCAAAAGUAACUUGUCUUACAAAAACUAGCGUAAAAAUAAAAGAAAUAAGGAUAUAGGCACUUUUAUAUGGAGGCGCCAUUAAGUUAGAGAAGAGGGACGACUAGCGAAACUCUCGAAAUAACUUGGAUGUUUCCUUAAAUGUCGGAAACAAUCGCUCAGACUGUUCCUUAAGGGGAACAAUCGCCAAACUGCUCCGCGGGAAAUCUUACAAAUAUGGCAUCUUUUCUUCAUGCACCCUUCUUCGACUCUGCAACCUAUUCCAGACCUGAAAAGACUCAAAAAGGACUGAACAGACUCGAUAAAAUAUUUAAAAACCAUUGAAAACGUAUUUACUAUGAUGUCAAAAAUAUCAUAUAUCAGAGCUUCUAUAGGUUCUACCAUUCAUAGGAUUAUUAUUGAUUUCGUCCGUCCUGGAUUGAUUAUAUUCCAUGUUCUAAAAAUCGGCUGCCUGGACACUACGCGUCACUCUUCCGCCCCGAUUUGUGCCAAAUCGGUUUAAAAAAUCGGAUAUCCAAUUUUCUCCGCCUAGACCGCCUAAAUGACCACCUAAUCUAUUUUUUUAUUUUUUUAUUUUUGUUUUAUUUUUAAUAAUAUUUUUAUUUAUUUAUUUGAUCUAAAAUUUUGUAAAUAUCAUUUAUAUUCAUAAUUUUGAUGAAAAUUAAACUAUAUUAAGUUUAUAUAUUCUAUUUAUAUGUUUUAUACAGUCUUAAACAUGAAUAUUAUACACAAUUAAAGAUUAACAUAUUUUAUAACAUAGUAAACAAUCUAAAAAUUAUGCCCUUCAUAAUUUCCGUUUUUUUUAUGAGGCGCUAGGUCAAACCCGACCGCCCAACUAGCUAGCGCUUUCCCGAACGGGGAUUAUAUUUAGAUAAAUCCGUCCUUUGUAGAUUACUGUAGAUUUCGUCUUUCAUUAUGUGAUAUAGAUUAUGGGUUUCUAUAAUAAUGAUGAUAUUAUACAUAUGAACAUCAGCUGUUACUUGAAAGCUCUCGGAAAUCGCAAUAUAUUCUCUAUUUUCCCGUUAUUUCUCUUCUUCUUCUUUCUCCUAUCUAGGGUUUUGUGCUUUCUUUAUUUAUAGAAUUAGAGGGGUCGCUAUAGUUUCCUAAUUCAUAUGCGUAUAUUUCCUUUUUAAAAUAACUGUAUUGUCUUCUGCAUUCUUCACUGAUCUUCUACCCUGACUGCAAUUUGUUAAUCUUCUGCGUUUACGGCAGUUCACCAAUUUUUACGCUUACUGCAAAUUUCAUCGUAACCCUAUUCCUGUGAACUUUAUAUUUAUAUUAGGUUAGCCGGAGUGAAAAAGUUAUUUCCUACACUGAAAAUCAAAUUACGUAUUUCCAAAACUUUACUGUGUUCUUUUAAAUUUGAAUGUUGAACUGCCGUCGAUAACACUAAUGUUCGAGGCAUUAUCACACGAUCUUAGAAAAAAAAUUAAGCAAACAAUCGUUUCAACCAUAACAUAUUGGCCAAGGUAACAUACAUCAUCAUCAUAAUCAUCAUCUCGAGUUCAAUACUUCCAAAACACACCCGGACUUCCUACUCCAGUUUUUUUCUUUUAAAAGAUCAAAACUUCUUAUUAUUUAUGAACAAAAUAAUAAUAAUAAAAAUAAUAAUAAUCCUUAUAGUAGAAUCGCAUAUAUUCAUUUCAAAUGGUUCCAUCAACUAAAAGUUCCUUUAAUUAACUUAAAGAUGAGUAGUUAGACACUACUUGCAGCAUCAUUUUCGAAUUUUUUUGUCAUUAGCUCAACUGCAAAACAUUCCAUUGCGUUAGUCUUCGGUGUUAGAAGUCUUCGGUUUUUUUAAUUAAUAAAGAUAAAUUAAUAUUACAAACUAAUUCAAUAUUACAAAUUAAUAUUACAUGCUGAUCUGAAUUUUCCAAAUCGCUUUUUCGAUCCCGCCGUAUCACUCCUGAGAUGUGUAUUGACUACUUAAAACAUUGAAACCUGAUCUGGCCGGGGGAAUUCUUGAUCAAAUUUGUUCUCAUGUUUUUCAAUUUAAUAUACCGUCUAACAACAAAUAAACAAAAAUUAUAAUUGCAUAAUAAUAUGAUAAAAAUGAUACCAGGUUAAAAACAUAUGGACCCAAGUCCCACGUGAAUAUUUUUAUUUUUGUCUUUUAUUUUCUUUUUUUUUAUCGAGUGGAUUUCUGUUGAUGUUGCGUGCAAAAUUAAAGUAUAUCGAAUAUAUAUUGCCCCCACACAAGAUCUCCUCUUACAAAAUCUUGUCCAACAAUGCUUUUUAGGGUUUUCUCGUCGGAUUCUUGUUCGCCGUUCACCGGAAUCUGAUUUUCACCGGCUGCCAGUUCUUAGUCCCCGACAAUGGGUACUAAAUGUGUGUAUCAAAUAAUAUGCUUGCCUUUAAUUAUUAUGUCUACUCUUUUAUUUGAUUAUUUUCAUGCUUUUUAUGUAUUUCUGUUUUCCAAAUUAUUCAAUGACCUUACUCCAUUGUUUAAUGCUAAGUUGCUAACACACUAUCGUAGUGUUUUUCAAUUAAAGCGUUUAUUAUACCUAAUUAGCAUCCAAAUUGGCAAUUUGCACAUGAUUUGAUGUAUGUGUACAUUGCUCUACUUUUUUACUUUGAAUUUCCAAAAAUAACUUUUUUACAUUUUUUUCCUCUUACAUAUUCUUACACUUUUUUUUUUUACACUAUUUUCCCUCAUUAACUUUCACACUCUCUUUUCUUUUACACUCAUAUUUUCUUUCAUUUUUCAUAUUUUUUCUCACGAUUUUUUUAUUUACACUUAUUUUUCUUAUUUUAUUUUUCUUUCUUCCAACAGAAUGUGUAAAACGAAAAAAUGUAAAAUUUGAACAUAAAUAUUAUCGUGUAACUAAAUAAAUAACAGCAAACAUAAAUGUUAUCAAAAUAUGUAUUAGGUGACAAACAAUAUAUCAUCUAACAAAACAUGCCGUUACUUACAAUUAUUUUCUAACAAACUUAUGAACCGGAUGGGAGUCCAAAGAUGAACACGGAUUUCUUCGGCACCGAAAAUAUCAACAUAGACCAGACGAAGACCUAGGACAAUCUUUUACCUACAAAGAUAGCAAAUAAAAAAGAAUCAAAUACUACACAGAUAAUGAAUCAUCUUCCAGAUAAAAAAUUAUUAUCAGCCUAUUUUCCAGCUACCAAAUCAAGUUUAAAAAAUAAUGUACAAACCGACAAACAAUUUAUAAAAUCAUUAAUGAGCUAUACAAACAAUGCAUCAAUUAACAACAAGUUUUUGGUAACAUCAUACAACAGUUUAUCAACUUUCGAUAUCAAACUAUGUAUCAGCUAACAAAAUAUGUACCAAGUAACAAAUUAUUUACAAGAUAAUAAACUAUUUCUCAAUUAAAAUAUUAACUCACUUAUCAAACCAUUUAUAAGAUACACAACCCAUAUAUCAAUUAGCGACAAGUCUUUUGUAAGAUCAUACGAACCAUUUAUGAUUUAUUUGUUAUGAAACUAUGUAUCCGCUAACAUAACAUGUACCAUGCAACAAAUCUUUUAUCAUAUAACAAAUCAUUUCGUGAGAAAAAUGUAUCAAGUCAAAAUCACGUAUCAACUAACUUAUCAGCUAAAAACAUAUGUGAAACAAAUGUAUAAACUGAAAAACCAAUUAUCAAAAUAUUUAUCAACUAAUAUAUUAUAUAAAUAUUAAUAAUAAAUAUUUUUGAACAUUUUAUUUACCUCAAUUUUUUUGCGGUCUGGAUAAAUUUGUUUGGAGGCUUUUUUUUUUUUGCACAUGAAUUUCUAUUCUUUUGAAAUAGGAUCUAGUCUCCAUAGCUCCCAAUACAACACUUUUAAAAUAGAAUUUUAGGAGACUUGGUUCCAACAUAAAAUAGUGUUUUACCACAACGGUUGGUGUUUGUGUUGGAGAUAGUUAAAAUACAAAGUGAGUUAAAUUUGGAAUGGAAGAAAUUGAAAUAAUAAUUAGAAAGUAAAAUAUAGAAAAAUAAAAUAUAUAUGAGAAUCAUGUUUGUGGGAGGAAGGGAAAGAAGAAUAGAACAAGAUGAUUAAAAAGUAAAAUAGAUAAUAAAAUAGGGCUAAAAAAAGAAUUUUUUUUCUGACAAAAAGCUUACACACCUUAUACACCUACAUAAAGCUAUUGGAUUAAAUCGGUAGGGGUAAAAUUAGAAUUGAAAUUAUUUUUUGUUUAUGUAGGGUAGAGUGCAAAUAUAGGAUGUCUCCGAGUAUAGACGUCAAUUAACUCUUUGUUAUAUAGAACGAUCAUUUCAGCCGAUAAGUGUUAAUAGUUUUUUUUUUAAUUUGUCUACUACUAAAUUUAAAUGUUCAUUUCAUGAGCAUGUAUAUAUACAUGCAACAGUAACCUGAAUUCUACCUUAAAAGUAUAUCAAAAGGAAACAAAAUAGUUUUUCUGGUUUUUUCUGUUUACAUUGAUAUAUCAUAUGUAUAUUGGGAAGAUAAUGGAAACCAAUUAUUUAUACGUUAGUCCACUUUCAUUUUUUUUGGUAUAAAGUUAAAUUGUAGUCCACUUUCAUCCACUCUGUUUAGUUAAUUACUAUUUGCAUCGUGAAAGUUGUGUUUUCUUAGUUUCUGACGAUACUAUGUAUGAAUAUGGAGUCACUAUUUACAUCAUAUUUGUUUGGUUUUUAAUUCAAAGAAAAUCACAGCUUCACGUAUAUGAAAAGUACUUUUGUGUUAAUCAUCAUAAUUUGCAAUAUUUUUGAAAUUUCUGUAUUGAAAAAGUUAAUUUGUUUAAUAGUCACUGAUAUAUUGUUAUUGCUUGUUGCUACGAGUACGAUGUUGAUGGAUUGGCGGUCAUCAUCAUCAUUUGGGCAUCAGCGUUCGGGUACCCGUUCGGAUUCGGAUCGGAUGCUUCGGAUUUUUAAGUUUUCGGAUGAAAAGGUACAUAAUCCGUUCGGAUUAUUUUAUACUUUGGAUCGGGUUCGGGUUCAGGUUUUUAAGGUUUGGGUUCGAGUUAUUUCAGAUAUAAUCAAACUGUGAACAAAAAAAAGUUCUAUGUAUCAUUGAUUUGACCCCGUGAGACAAGAAACAAUACUGUUGAAGUUAAAAGAUUAAACAACUUAAUAUAAGAUUUAUGAUCUUUCUGAUUUGUUACAAUGUCGAGGAACACGAGCAUGUAUUAUUUUUCUUCGUGUAAUUUUUAUUUGUAUUAUCUUGAAUAGAAAAUGGUAACGAAUCCAUCUAUUUAUAAAUCAAAAUCAAAGAGACAUCAAAAUCAAUCAGAAAUCAAACCGGGAUAAUAAUGAAUGUUUGAGUUCAUGCCUAUGUUAAGAGUAAAGAGAAAACAAAUCGCACAUCCUACUUGUAAUCAAACAUAAAUCAAAAUCGCAAAGUAUAGUGAUUCAUACAUGUAAUCGGUCAUAAAAUGAGUUUGAGUAUGUACUGAACAUAUACGUCGAAGAAAGAGAAGACGGAAAAAUGAAUGGGAAUGGCAAAUGUAAGUUUAGGGUUAGUAUAUAUAUAUAUAUAUUCGGGUACUUCGGAUAAUUUCGGAUAUCAGAUAUAACCAAUCGAGUACGGAUAUCCAGACUAGUUGAAUCUUAAACCCGUUCGGGUUUUUUAACUUCGGCUCGAUUUUUGGUUCGGGUUUUUAGGGUCGGUUCGGGUUCGAGUUUUGUUAAUAUGCCCACACCUAAUCGUCAUCAUCCAUCAACAUUAUUAUUAUAUUUUUUAUAUCUAUUUCUUAUGCAUAAAGGUUAUAGACUUAUAGAUAUAAUAGGCUACAUGAUUCAACAAUAGCCACUAAACUAAGCAAGUUGGAGAAAUUAACUAAUAAUUCAUUAUUUAAACCAAUAAUGGUUGAUUUGGUUUGCUAAGUCGUACACUGGAUAGCUUAAACAAAUAAUUCUUUAGGAAAUUUAAAAGAAGAGUAUAUCAUACUAGUGCGUAAAUAGCCACAUUAGUAACCAAAAACGAAUUAAUUUACAAAUUCUCAGAUUAAUUUUUGUUUUAAAAGGAACGAGAGCACCUUCUCACGGUCCCGUCAAUUAAAGUAUAUUCUCUAUUUUUUAACUAAUAUAAAAAUGUGUACUAAUUGUAUAUAUAUUAUUACAAGGUCGAUAUUUGAAUUGUUUUGUGUACGUUGCUAAACUAUUUUUUUCUAGAAUGAUGACAAAAAAAGUCAGAGAAAGUAACUUGUCAACAUAACAAUAACAAAAUACAGUCCCUGUAAAGUGUAAAGCUGAAAUUUGAAAAAGGAAAAAAAAAUCUCAUUAAUUAGAUCUUCUUCGAUUGUCAUAGAUAUAUUGGUCAUAAUAAUUUAUAAAUGUAUAGGCUCCUACAGGUUACCAAUCAAAGGCCAUAGUCUGAAAACAAUAAAGCUUUCACAUUAUCUUAGAUAUAAUAUAUGUAGGUCUAAAUCUCAAAAUUACAGUUGUCUGCUUUACAAUGAUUCCAAAUAUAUAUAAAUUCACAAGAUGUUCUUUUUUUUUGGAAUAAAGUUCACAAGAUGUUUCAAUAUAUAACAUAGCUCUCAUUAGUUACAAAUUGCAAUUUGCAUGAAUAGAAGAUUGGAUUUAUUUUUCAUCAUUACUUUAAAAUAGAUAAAUUCUGAUUCAAUAAGUUUUUUUUUUUUUUUUUUCUGAUUCAAUAAGUUAGAGUUAGCAUGCAUGUUUUCAAAUAAAAUAAAACUAGGACUUUAAUAUUCGCAUGAAAUAAUCAAAAUUUAUUGACACUUUAUACAUGUAUCAAUUUAUAUAAAAUACUUAAAUAUAUUUUCUCCUCGUUCCACUCAGUACGUAUCUCUCUUGCUUUCCUUCACUUUAUUGUCGCUUUUAGACCUUGAAUUUUCUCAUAAAUCAGAAUAUAAUACCAAAACAACACCAAAAAGAAAUCAGAGUUACCCCUAAGAAUGUCUUCGGAUCAUCACACACCAACGAAAGAUCCACCGGAUCGUCCAUCUUCUUCCUCCAUCAACCACAAGCAACUGCUUCCUUCUCAACCGCAGGCGCAGCAACCGCUCAGCCGCUACGAGUCUCAGAAACGCCGAGACUGGAACACGUUCAUCCAAUACCUAAAAUCGCAGAAUCCACCGCUGAUGAUGUCUCAGUUCGAUUACACACACGUGCUAAGUUUCCUCAGGUACUUAGAUCAGUUCGGUAAGACCAAAGUACAUCACCAAGCUUGUGUCUUCUUCGGACAACCAGAUCCACCAGGACCGUGCACAUGUCCUCUCAAACAAGCUUGGGGAAGCUUAGAUGCUUUGAUAGGACGGUUGAGAGCUGCUUAUGAGGAACAUGGCGGUGGGUCACCGGAUACUAACCCGUUUGCAAACGGGUCAAUCCGGGUUCACUUGAGGGAAGUGAGAGAAUCUCAAGCCAAGGCUCGUGGGAUUCCGUACAGGAAAAAGAACAGGAGGAAGAUUAAAAACGACGGGGUUGUUGCCAGGAAGGAUGUUGCAAACUCUUCAACUCAUAAUCAGUCGUCCACUUGAUAAUUUAUCACAUAAAAAAAUUCCGAUAUAGGUAAAUCUAUUUUGAAAUUCUUUUUUUUUUCACUCUUAAUUUAAACUCUCAUAUGCUCUUUUUAAAUUGGAAUUAAAUCCUCUGAAUAAGGACACCACAAAUACUCAAAAUAUCAUAUCAAUAAUAGUGAUUGAUUCCAUGAAAUUUCUUGAUAAUUUAUGUUGUCAUUAUAUAUAUAUAUACGAAUAGUAAUAGGUAUUGUAGAUCACAUAUGUUUAAGGGAUAAAAUACCGAAAAAGAAUUUUUUUUUUCUUAUCAACUCUUCAAGUGUCCAAUUGUGAAUGGUAUUUUAAUGACAUAAAUUUUCUGUACGUUGCAUUGCAUGCAUAAUGAUGUAUACUCGUACACUGGUAGGCAUGUGUGGGUCAAUAAUAUUUCUUACAUUACAUACAUUUAGAAUUUACUUGUAUAUGUACACAUAUACAAGUUGUCACAAAAUAUGAAGUUUAGUAUUAUGUGUCGAGGUUAGCUCGGUUGCUAUCGUCUUACCGUUGAGCUAGUGUCUCCUUUUAACAUUUCUACAUUAUGUCUAAUUGUAUUUCUUUUUAUUGAUCAGUUUACCUCGACAUUAAAUUGGGUUAUUAUCAUCUUACCGUUGAGCUUACCUCUAGUUGUUAUCAUUUUACCGUUGAGCUUAGCUCCGGUUAUAAUUGCUUACCCUUUGAAGCUUUUAAUAUAUCUAGUGACAAAAAGUAUUAUGUGUAUAUAUGUAGCUAUAUAUUAGACCAUAGUAUUUAAUAAAUGUUGGUUUGGAGUCUGCUAGCUAAGGAUACUAGCUAGGAUGAUUAGAAAUUUAGAAUAAGCUUGUUUUUAAUAUAUUCCAAAAUGCCUGGUUUCUUUAUAUGUUACUGACUUUGAAGAAUCGAUUAGUGGCAAAUCGGCCGGUUUACAAAAUGCCUGGUUUCUCGAAUCAUGUAACUAAACGAUAUAAAAAAAGCAAUUAAACGAUAUGCAUGAAAAUUAGGAUUCUAAGAAAAGAAGAAUAUAGCUUUUAAAUGAUCUUGGAACCUGAGCAACUAACGUAAGCAAUCCGGAUUCGAAUGCACUCCACUACGCUUCAUAUUAUAUCAUGGUUACACAGAAAAUGAACUUUGGCUUAUUUGAAAAUCUGGAAAAAGAUUUAUAUGAUGGAUUAUAUCUUCUUUUGGAAAAUAGUUUGGGCCUAACGUCUGGAAUACCCUCAAGUUAAUAAAAAAAGACUUUUAAAUGGACAUAUACAAUUAUGGAUUUUGUUAAAACAUUCAGACAUUAAUCUACCGGUCCAUUCUAAGUUAUGUGUUAAGUUGAUUCAUCUUAUGGUGAAUAUCUUGUGCUAUUGAAACUUAUAUUUUAUAACUCACUGUAUUAUAAUUUUUUUGAAAAGUUAGUCACUCAAUUAUAGUGUACUCCAACUAAAAUAGUAUUACAAAAUUUGAAUGCCUAAUGACCUCUAUAAUAUUUGACAAUUUAGUUUUAACGUGCGGUGUUCACGUAAGUUUUCGUGAUGGUCAAUUACAUAUACUAGAUAUAUCAUUAGUAAACUAAAAUAAUAAUGAAUCAUUUUCAUUAUUAAUAUUAGGGCUGGACAAAAAAUCCGGAUCCGAAACACCGAACCGAACCCAAACUGAAAUUGAUUAAAUAUCUGAAUGGGUAAGAACAUCAAAAUAUAUAAGAUACGAACCGAAGUAUUUCGGAUAUCCGAUUAUAUCCAAAAUUGAUUUAUAUACCUAUAUAUAUUAAUUAUUUUUAGAUUUAAUAUAUAUUAAGAACAUCAAAAUAUAUAUGAUACUUUUAAAUUGUCCAAAAUACUUAUAAAUAUAUACAAAUAGUCAAAAGUACAUGUCUAAAAUAGCUAAAGUAUACUUAAAACACCAACAAUACUUAAAAUAUCUAUUGAUUCUCAAUCCAAAUAUUUAAACCAAACAAAUUUAUAUGUUAAUUUUAGGUACUUUGACAUAUGCUAUUCAAAUUUAUAUAUAAUAUAUUAUUUUGUUUAUGAAAUUUUGAGAAAUUUAAAGUAUAUAAUGAAUUUUAAAAAUUUUAAAAUAAUUUGAAUGAGUUAUUCGAAUCCGAACCGAACCCGCAAAGAUCCGAACCCGAACCGAAAUUUAGAAAUAUCCGAAUGGGACUAAAAUCUUUGAACCCGAAAACCAAAACCCGAAUAGAUCCGAACAAAGCCUGAAUGGGUACCCGAACGCUCACCUCUAAUUAAUAUUUUUCAGUUUACUUUUUAAUGAUUCAUUUUAUUCUAUGUUAUUGUUUUGAUAAACAGAAGUAGAAGAUUUUAUAAAAAUAAAAAACAUAUUAUUAUAUUAAAAGUAUGUUUUACGUGUUUAAUUGGUGAAGAUGGUUUCGGAACCAGAGGAAUUGCCAGCAUUUGAAAGCUACCUGGAAGAUAUCAAGCUUUUGCGACGAAGCUUCAUCAACUCAGAUAUUGUUCAUGUUCCUAGGACGGAAAAUAAACGGGCAGAUAGCUUGGCACGUAGUGCUCGGCAACAACCGUCUUUCGUCGUGCACAUGGACGCAGAGUUACCACAUUGGUUUACAGAGUCUACAUGAGUCUGUAAAUGUUUGCUGUCA